CCCAGGGCUGCGGCGGAAGGAGGGUGAAGAUGAAUCAAAAGCUGUGCUUUUAACCAUGGGACUCAUUCUGAGCUGACUUGCACCUAUAUCAGGAAUCCAGUCAAUGAAUCCGAACCCAGACUGCAGAACGAUUCUGAGGAGAUGAUGAAGCCAG